GCACAAGCGGUGGAGCAUGUGGUUUAAUCGAAGCAACGCGAAGAACCUUACCAGGUCUUGACAUCCCGAUGCUAUUUCUAGAGAUAGAAAGUUACUUCGGUACAUCGGUGACAGGUGGUGCAUGGUUGUCGUCAGCUCGUGUCGUGAGAUGUUGGGUUAAGUCCCGCAACGAGCGCAACCCCUAUUGUUAGUUGCCAUCAUUCAGUUGGGCACUCUAGCGAGACUGCCGGUAAUAAACCGGAGGAAGGUGGGGAUGACGUCAAAUCAUCAUGCCCCUUAUGACCUGGGCUACACACGUGCUACAAUGGUUGGUACAACGAGUUGCGAGUCGGUGACGGCGAGCUAAUCUCUUAAAGCCAAUCUCAGUUCGGAUUGUAGGCUGCAACUCGCCUACAUGAAGUCGGAAUCGCUAGUAAUCGCGGAUCAGCGCGCCGCGGUGAAUACGUUCCCGGGCCUU
rnacentral:rRNA from 1 species